rnacentral:tRNA from 1 species
GUCAGGAUGGCUGAGUGGUCCAAGGCGCUGCGUUCAGGUCGCAGUCCGGUCUUCCGGGCGUGGGCUCGAAUCCCACUUCUGACA